ensembl:lncRNA
ACCUUCAGCACUGCAUCGUGGAGGCUUGUGACAGCAUAUAAAAUAAAAUAAAACGGCGUCCUGUGACUUUUGACUCGCCCUGUACAAUAUCACGAUAUGUACCACAGCGUUCAGCUUUGAUAAGUUGCGUCAGAGAGAACGAGCUUACUUGAAGACUAUAAAACUAAGACUAACACUAGAGGAGAUCGAUAUGGCAGGAACGUAAUGUCACGAUGCUCCAAGACGUUUUCACGAUACACGAAUCAGAAGCCCACAGUGGACUUCUUCAGAGUGUGGGAUGCCAUGCUGUGCAGAGAGGCAUAAGGCUGUGUAAACGCAGUGGUGCUAAUC